rnacentral:rRNA from 1 species
UACGUAGGGGGCAAGCGUUGUCCGGAAUCAUUGGGCGUAAAGAGCGUGUAGGCGGCUUGGUAAGUCCGCUGUGAAAGUCCAGGGCUCAACCCUGGAAAGCCAGUGGAAACUGCCAAGCUAGAGUCCGGAAGAGGCGAGUGGAACUCCUGGUGUAGCGGUGAAAUGCGCAGAUAUCAGGAAGAACACCAAUGGCGAAGGCAGCUCGCUGGGACGGUACUGACGCUGAGGCACGAAAGCGUGGGGAGCAAACAGG